rnacentral:rRNA from 1 species
UACAGAGGGUGCAAGCGUUAUUCGGAAUUACUGGGCGUAAAGCGUGCGCAGGCGGUUGCGUAAGUCAGAUGUGAAAGCCCCGGGCUCAACCUGGGAAUUGCAUUUGAGACUGCGUAGCUAGGGUGCGGAAGAGGGAAGCGGAAUUUCCGGUGUAGCGGUGAAAUGCGUAGAUAUCGGAAGGAACACCAGUGGCGAAAGCGGCUUCCUGGUCCAGCACCGACGUUCAGGCACGAAAGCGUGGGGAGCAAACAGG